GGAGGUGUUGAACUUCUCAAGACUAUGAUGGCUGAAAGUGGCCUCACAGAGAUCCAAUAAAACAUGCUUGAGUCCAAGACUUGGAUACCACCAAAGACCUGUUACCUUCAAACAUUACAUGAUGAGUACCCAUAAGACAUAACUCCAGUCAACCAGAAAGGAAAGGAGCACCUGAUACAUUUCAUGGCUUUGACCACUCCAGACUUCAGUAUGGUGAAAGCAACCAGGAAAUCACCGGAUCCUACAACAGAUGUUGAGUCAUCAACCUUCAAGUGCCAAGUCCAAGAAAGCUAAGACUCUCCAUCUACCCCAAACCAGAACUGCUGGCAAGAAGAGUCGUCAGUUCAGUUCCAAAAGUAGUGGGAAGGUGCAAAAGACUGCCAAUAAAGACAAGAAAACCCUGCCAUGGAUCCCAAAGAGAAAGACUUCUGAGAAGACUACACCACCUACAAAAAAGACUUUAAAAGCCAAGGGAAAAGUACUAUUCGGUCACUACCACCUCCUGAUGGAAGAGAUGAAAACUAGUACUGAGACAGAGCCGGACCAUAGCACUGUGAAGAGCUCCAGUGUUUCGAUGAGUGACAAGGAAAGCCAAUAGCCUCUGAAUGCCACCAAAGACCUAGAAACCCAUUCAAAGGUCUGGUACCUGAGCAUUGUCAAACUAUGUAGACUGAGUAUGUACUACACAGUGCUUUGACGCUGAUGAAAAUAAAAUCAAUCAGAUGUGGAAAAAGUUACAUUUAAUAUGGACAAAAAUAAGGCUUAUUAUUGUUUGAUUCCCAAGUCAUGUCUUUAUUGAAUGAAGAACUAUGACUGC
ensembl:antisense 1700040F17Rik RIKEN cDNA 1700040F17 gene